UUUACUCUAUUUUAACCAAAAUGUUGAGUUUACUAAUUUUUUUUCAUUGCUGAAAUAUUACAACAGAUAGUUCCCAUAACUAAUGAAAUUUAAGUAAAAUUACUCAAAAUGUCCAAGACAUGCUGUUACGCAUGCGCACUGGGCGACAAUUGCCCCUCCCCCACGUCGCAGAAGCACAACGGCUGAAGACUCAACGUGUGUUUGCAGAGGAUCUAUUUCGGUAAAAUCAAGAAUACCAGCUGAUGACUGCUGUGCAGUGGAAAUAUCGAUCAUCUUGAUAAAACCUCAGUAUAUCAUCAGGAGCAACAGGUAUUAAUUUUGUGCUCCUUGAUAUGUUUUUUCCCUCCAAAAAUGGACAGUCUCUGACUUAAAUUUUAUCAAUCACCAAAGGCCACAUUUUCAGCUAAAAAUCUUCUUUGCUGUUCUGCUGAAGAAAAAUACUCAUGAACAUCUUGGGUGGCGUAAGGAUCUUUGCAGGAUUCAGUCGCAUAUCUCGGAUCUGAGUUCUGCGCAGCACUGGACACAGACUCUGCACUUUUGACAUUUUCUAGAAAAAAGGAUUUUAAAUUUCACAUCAAGUUAAUUAAAAGUCAUCUGAUGUUUGCACUGCAGUACUUCAGGGCCUUUCAGUCAUCCUGGAGGAUGACCCACAGGAAUUUUACAGGAUGUGUUUCGAUGUGGAUGCAGACUUCAGUCAAGCAGUUGUAGACCUGCUCACAGUUCUACCAGAGGACAUGCCCUCAUUGUGGAUGCAAUAAAGGCAAUCAUGGAGGGAAGAAUUGUCAUGAAUGGGUUUUAAAGGCCUGUAUUUUAUUUUUGCUGUUCUGUUUGCAUGCCAUUCUGAAAAUGCUCUAUUGUUUAACAGUGUUCCAGUGGGUCCAGAUAAUGUUAUGACAACAAAGUGCUGUUUAGUUAAGAAGUCUGUAAAGAGUAUUAUAAGAACACAGAUGUUUU